rnacentral:rRNA from 1 species
GACGAACGCUGGCGGCGUGCUUAACACAUGCAAGUCGAACGGAAAGGCCUGCUUUCCCUUGUGGAUUGCGGGUACUCGAGUGGCGAACGGGUGAGUAACACGUGAGUGAUCUGCCCCCAACUUGGGUAUAAGCCUGGGAAACUGGGUCUAAUUCCCGAUAGGACUGCAGGGUGGUGCCUGUGGUGGAAAACGAUUUUCUAGUGGUUGGGGAUGAGCUCGCGGCCUAUCAGCUUGUUGGUGGGGUGAUGGCCUACCAAGGCGGCGACGGGUAGCCGGCCUGAGAGGGUGGACGGCCACAUUGGGACUGAGAUACGGCCCAGACUCCUACGGGAGGCAGCAGUGGGGAAUAUUGCACGAUGAGCGGAAGCCUGAUGCAGCGACGCCGCGUGGGGGAUGACGGCCGUCGGGUUGUAAACUCCUUUCGACCGCGAGGAAGCCACCUGGUUGGAAGGGUGGUGACGGUAGUGGUAGAAGAAGCACCGGCUAACUACGUG